UACGGAGGGGGCUAGCGUUGUUCGGAAUUACUGGGCGUAAAGCGCACGUAGGCGGCUUUGUAAGUUAGAGGUGAAAGCCCGGGGCUCAACUCCGGAAUUGCCUUUAAGACUGCAUCGCUAGAAUUGUGGAGAGGUAAGUGGAAUUCCGAAGUGUAGAGGUGAAAUUUCGUAGAUAUUCGGAAGAACACCAGUGGCGAAGGCGACUUACUGGACACA
rnacentral:rRNA from 1 species